rnacentral:rRNA from 1 species
GACGAACGCUGGCGGCGUGCCUAAUACAUGCAAGUCGAGCGGAGUUAUUCCUUCGGGGAUAACUUAGCGGCGGACGGGUGAGUAACACGUAGGCAACCUGCCUGUAAGACUGGGAUAACUACCGGAAACGGUAGCUAAGACCGGAUACACAACUUGAUCGCAUGACCGAGUUGGGAAAAGCGGAGCAAUCUGCUACUUACAGAUGGGCCUGCGGCGUACUAGCUAGUUGGUGGGGUAACGGCUCACCAAGGCGACGAUGCGUAGCCGACCUGAGAGGGUGAACGGCCACACUGGGACUGAGACACGGCCCAGACUCCUACGGGAGGCAGCAGUAGGGAAUCUUCCGCAAUGGACGCAAGUCUGACGGAGCAACGCCGCGUGAGUGAUGAAGGUUUUCGGAUCGUAAAGCUCUGUUGCCAGGGAAGAACGCUUGGGAGAGUAACUGCUCUCAAGGUGACGGUACCUGAGAAGAAAGCCCCGGCUAACUACGUGCCAGCAGCCGCGGUAAUAC